rnacentral:rRNA from 1 species
GUGCCAGCAGCCGCGGUAAUACGUAGGGCGCAAGCGUUAUCCGGAAUUAUUGGGCGUAAAGAGCUCGUAGGCGGUUUGUCGCGUCUGCCGUGAAAGUCCGGGGCUCAACUCCGGAUCUGCGGUGGGUACGGGCAGACUAGAGUGAUGUAGGGGAGACUGGAAUUCCUGGUGUAGCGGUGAAAUGCGCAGAUAUCAGGAGGAACACCGAUGGCGAAGGCAGGUCUCUGGGCAUUAACUGACGCUGAGGAGCGAAAGCAUGGGGAGCGAACAGGAUUAGAUACCCUGGUAGUCC